GUGGCACAACGUUAAGCACUUGGCUGCUAACCAAAAGGUUGGUGGUUCGAACCCACCC
rnacentral:tRNA from 1 species